GAGCCCGCUCAGAAACUUACAAGGAAGUUGACGGGGGCCCGGCACAAGCGGUGGAGCAUGUGGUUUAAUUCGAUGGUACGCGAGGAACCUUACCAGGGCUUGACAUACGUUGGAAGCGCAUCGAAAGGUGCGUGCCGCUUGCGGCCGGCGUACAGGUGCUGCAUGGCUGUCGUCAGCUCGUGCUGUGAAGUGUUGGGUUAAGUCCCGCAACGAGCGCAACCCCUGCUGCCUGUUGCCACCACGAGAGGUGGGGACUCAGGCGGGACCGCCGGUGACAAACCGGAGGAAGUGGGGACGACGUCAAGUCAUCAUGGCCCUUAUGUCCUGGGCUACACACGUGCUACAAUGGCCGGUACAGAGCGCAGCGAGGCCGCGAGGCGGAGCGAAUCGCUUAAAGCCGGUCCCAGUACGGAUUGGAGUCUGCAACCCGACUCCAUGAAGUUGGAAUCGCUAGUAAUCGCGCAUCAGCAUGGCGCGGUGAAUACGUUCCCGGGCCUU
rnacentral:rRNA from 1 species